rnacentral:rRNA from 1 species
UACGGGGGGGGCAAGCGUUGCUCGGAAUUACUGGGCGUAAAGGGCUCGUAGGCGGCCAACUAAGUCAGACGUGAAAUCCCUCGGCUUAACCGGGGAACUGCGUCUGAUACUGGCAAGCUAGAGUGCGGUAGAGGGUAGUGGAAUUCCCGGUGUAGCGGUGAAAUGCGUAGAGAUCGGGAGGAACACCAGUGGCGAAGGCGGCUACCUGGACCAGCACUGACACUGAGGCACGAAAGCGUGGGGAGCAAACAGG